ensembl:lncRNA
UCCAUCCAGAACCUGAGUGCUGGGGAGCAGGGACUUUGCACCCUGUUGUCCCAUUCACUUGCAGACCCACUUUAUUCCAAUUACAAAAGGAAAACCGGUAUUUAAAUCCUUUUCCCACUUUACAGGCUCUGGGAAGGCCAGACAGGAACAGCAGGGGCAACUUGUGUUGAAUUCGCAGCAACUUUUCCCCCAAGAUGUUCUUCACAGCAGCACUAAAUUAGCACUAAAUUAGCUUUCCCUUAAUCUAGCAACAAGUAAAGAAGCUUUCUGCAAAAAGAAAUAUAUAUGAAUAAAUAAAUCAAUCAAAACAUCAGAGCUCUGCUUUGAGUUCAGGGCUGACUUCUCCAUCUUGCCCAAAUGACUUAGGAGCACAAGCCCUCCUAGUAACAGAUUUGCAUAGACAUUUACAUGCUGUGAUAUCCAGGACCGAUGGAGUGUCCCCAUCUUGCUGUGGCCCUCCCUGCCACCUUCACCACAACAGCAGAUGCCUGCAGGUGCUCCAGCUGCAAGGUUUCCGUGGCGCUGCAGCCGCGACCUUGGGUCUUUAUUGGCUCUCCGAAUGGACCCUUUAUAGACUCCAGAUGGAAAGUAUAAAAUUAAUAACCCCUGGCUGGCAAACACCCAUAUGUUUUCCACCUUCUCCUGAGAUACAAUUUGUUUAUGGUGACAUUUAUUUAAUGCAAAUUAACAUAUAAAUGAAGAUGCAUGGCUCUUCCCAGAGACCUGAGGAAACUGGUUUGUGUGGUGCUAGAGGUGCACGGCCACAUCAACCACCCACCAGAAAGGCUCCUUUGGAAUUACCUGGAGCCUUUUUGAUUCUCUCCAGCCAGGAGGAAUUCCACCAGCCUCCCUCCAGGCCCAUUUUCUUUAACAAUAUAUACCAGGCUGACCCUGGAGGUGCUAAUUGCUCUUUAUCUAAGACAACUGUUUCUCCCACCCCACCAGUGCUUUUGGUGGUCGAAGGAAUACAAUGCAUUAUCAGGAAACGAGAUACAUGUGUACAAAGGGUAUUGACUGGCGGGAGGUUAAAGAUACAGCACAAAGAGAGGCAGCCUUACAGGGGUACCCUGUUAACUAGUGAUGGAUGAGCCACUGGAAGAAGAAAGCUCUCCAAGGUUGGGCUGAUAAGACCCCAGCCACUUGGUGCCUCCCCAAGGUGCCACGACCAGGACCAACCUCUACACCUAUCCCUGGCUCCGGCCUCCUUCUCCUCCUUUUCUUCCUCCUCCUCCCAGCAGACAACCCAGGACAGGCCAAAUUUGGCACGGAAAACCCUUCCACAAAGCCACCCCUGCGUCCCGUUUGUCCGCCAACGACCUUAGUUAAACCGGCGCAAGUUUCUUAAUUCCACGCCAGCCUAAGCCUUUAAAAACUGUUGACUUUCCAGAAAAGCAGGAAGUGGGUAAACACAGCGAUUGGCUGCUCUUCCUGCUGACCACAUGUCACCAGAAUGCAGGGGAAAAAAAAAAUUCUAUUAGGCUUUUAUUUAACAUGAAUUUGAAUGUAUUCCAGGUCACUGAUCACAUAAGCGAUCACGAUACGGGUAAUAAAGAAGUUCCUACCAUACCUUUAUUUGCUUUCUCCCUGUAAUAAAUCUUUAUCACACACUGGGCUGAUUGCAACAGUAUCACUUCCUUUUUUUUUUUUAUUUUUUUUUUUCCCUCCUGUUUUAUAGGGCAGCAAAAAGCCAACUGGGCCCAUCUGCAAGCACACCCAAUGGCGCUGGGAUGGGAUGGCAAACAAAAGGCAGCCAGGGCAGCCACACUGCUGCCUUGAAGAACCAAGGGUUGACUUCCCUGGGUGCAGACCCCAACCUUCACAUGCUGCAAAACCCCAUGCAUGAUCCUUUGUGACUGCAGGAAAAGGGGGAAUCGUAGCGUGGCACUGAGGGACGCGGUUAGUUGGAUAGUGGGUGCAGUGUGGACGGGUUGAUGGUUGGACUUGGGGAUCCUUGUGGUCUUUUCCAACCUGCGUGAUUCCAUGACUGUGUCAUAGUAGGAAAUAUCAACCUGUGUGCUUUCUUAGUAAGUGAUCAUUAAGACGGUUUAAUAAACGAUCCAAGUGACAGCCCUAUGCUAGAACAGCCUCGAAUCAAACCAUUCUGCACAGGGAAGAAUUUUUGCUCCCUGUAAACCAAAAGUAAUGGGUCAAAGGGAAAUGAAUCCUGAGCAGUUCCCUGCACUUCUGAGCAUUUGGUGUUCUGGACCCCAUUCUCCCUCGUACCCUCAUGCUUAAUCCUCCUCAUUUGAAUGAUUUGCAUCCAAAUCUCUCCAUUUUUGUCCUUUCAUUCUCGAGCACACGAUGUUAGUUCCCGCUAAUACAAGGGCAUCAAUCGCCUUCAUCUUCUCCUAUUUAAUGAUAUUUAUUCAUCAUCGCAUGGGAGAGAAAUUGGCUGCAGCUCAAUUUGGCAAAAUAAAUUGGGACCAGUUCAAGCGUAAUCUCGCUAAACACACAGAUUUUAAUCCCCCCCCCCAAGUGAAGCACACUGCAUCUGCAAUGGAUGUCCUUGGUUCAAGAUCCAGAUGCUGAUUUCAAACUCCAGAAUCUCCCACUGCUUGCAGAGCUCACUUUGUGAGGACCAGGGACUACGUAAAUUCAGAACAGCUCCAGCACAGCUUUGCUCCUGUUGUCCUUAAUUGCUUGAAUACUGAGCAGGUUGAUAUUGUGAUUAUUUGUAGACAUUUAUACCAUCCCAGGCCUUCUUCUUUAUAACUUUAUUUCAUUUUCUGCUGUUUACUCACAACUACCUUUAUCACCGCACGCUGAUAGUCUGUUCUUUAUUGCCUCGGUGUGAUUGCAAGGAGUUUGAGCACAACCCAAUAACACACAUAUAUAAAUAUUUGAACAGGAAAAGAAAGUCUGUCUCAUUCAGGCUAUGGAAGGAGGGAAAAAUGAAAACAAAUAAUACCGCUAGAGGGACCUUCACACUGAACCACGGUGGAGGAGAGGUCACACACAGCCUCCACGAGUGGCACCGAUGGGACCCGUGGUGUCGGCAUGGAGCUUGCAAGCAGCAGCACCGCAUGCAUGCAGGGCUCGUUGUUUGCCGAGGAUCACCCGAAUAAUUCCACUUGAGCACAACAAACGUGUUUUGUUUUUGCAGUUAAAGAGCUGAGUCCUUUUAAUUAGUUGACUCGGGCCUUUCUGCAUGCGGUCCCCACGCACUGUGGCUGGUUCAAAGAGGAGCCUCUCUGUGUGUUUUCGCUUUUCUUCUCUUUUCUUUCUCCCCUUUAACACUGCGUGUGAAUAGUUGAAGACGGGAGCGAAAGACAUUGGACUUAGAAAGUAAAAUCUCCAGGAAGCAAAAAUGGAGGCAAACACAGGAGCUAAUUUAGGCAGGCAUAGCUGGUGUUGUUUGUGGUUGUCCCUGACAGCGCUGCUGACUCUAAAGCACCUGUGUUUGCUCACUAGCUUUCCCCAAUCUGCUAGAAAAUGGCCCUAGCAUGUCACAUGGCAGCGAGAUAGUCCGAGCGCCAUGGGAAUAAAAAAGCCUGAGCUUUUAACGGAGUUAAUCAUUAAUGCGCCUUUUCUUUGUCCCAUUCAGGAGUGCUGACAAGCGCUUUGAUAUUUCAUAUUUGCCAUCAGGUCAGCGGCAGUCAUACCCAGGUACUAAUGAGCGCCCUGGCUCACGCCUCCCUGUUUCAUGGCCCGCCUGAAGAUUUCGUCCCACUUGCCCUCAACCACAGCUACACGCAUAUAUAUCCCUGCCUAUAUGUGUGUGCGUGUCCCUGCUUCCACGUCUGAAUGCAUCCCUGCAUAUAUGCACAUAGGCAUCCCUGUGCGCACACCCGAGCAACACCCAUGGGUGCAGCGCAUGCUCAGGAGAUCCCAGUUCAGGCGCUUUUAUCCCCUCCUGUAGACAAAACCCAGGGCUCCCAGCUCCAGAUCCAAGCCCUGUGUUCCAUAUUGGGCAUCUCAAUGCAAUGCUUUGUAUCCACGAGCAGCUGUCAAUGCGUGCGCGCACUUCGGGGUUGAGCAAAUAAUCCCCAGUGAAUAAUGUAUGUGCGGGGAGGAAUGCAGGCUGCACUACUCGCCCCCAGUCCUGGCUGCCAGCAGCGUGUUUUCUGCAUCGUGCUUCUUCUCCCAGUUUGUUUGCCCUGAUGCACCCAGGUUUCCCUGUUCACUGCAGGGGAAUUAGACUAGGUGACCUUUGAAGGUUUCUUCCAACUCCAACAAUUCUAUGAUUCUUUGGUUCUAUGGUUCUGAUUCCAUGAUUCUAUGGGUCUGUGAGCCUAUGGUUCUACGAUUCCAUGAUUCUAUGAUUCUACGGUUCUAUGAUUCUAUGAUUCUAGGGGUCUAUGAAUCCAUGAUUCUAGGGGUCUAUGAUUCUGUGGAUCUAUGAUUCCAUGAUUCCAGGGGUCUAUGUUACUAUGAUCCUAUGAUGCCACGAUUCUAUGAUUCUAUGUGUCCAUGGUUCUAUGACUCUAGAUGCACUGCUUGGGAACCAGUUGUAUGAAGGCAUGAUUACAAAGGAGACUGAGAAUGCUCGUCCUCCCUAAGAGCAGCAAGGCACUGCUAUUCUGUUGUCUGGCUUGGCCAAUAAAUGCAGUUGUUUGUGCCAGCACUGAGUAGAAAAACCUAUCCCUCAGCGUAAAGGCCAGGCAGGUCAGCAGGCCUCCAUAAAGCUGCUGUGCAAAGAUGAUUUGUGCUGGCUUCAACGAGAAUCACAGUCAAACUUCAAGGUGCUUGAACCUUUCCCUUGACUCGGGCAGAGACUGACAGCACAUUUCACUCCUCCUCGCCGGGGUUGGAUGCUGACAGAAUUGCAUCAGUGAGCUCACCGAGGGGACCUCCUGUCUGUGUUCAUGUAGUGUGGGGAGGAAAACAUGGCUGGAGCUGCCCAUGCUGCCAGCACAGCAGGGAGGUGCAGCCAGGCAUCGCAGAAGGUUGCACAAACCUGGGCUUCCUUCAGCAUCCCUCUGGGUUGGAAGUGUGUGCAGCGUGAAAUUAAUGAGCUAUUCAUAGAACCAUCAUAGAGUCAUAGAAUCAUGAAGGUGGAAAAGAUAACCGAGUCCAACCACAGCUCACCCCCACCGUGCCCACUGACCACGUCCUGCAGUGCCACAUCCCCACAGCUUUGGGAUGCCUCCAGGGAUGGUGACCCCACCACUCCCUGGGCAGCUGUGCCACUGCCUCACCGCUCUUUCAGGAAAUAAACUGUUCCUAUCAGUCAACCCGAAUUCAGCCCUAAGCUUUUCAGUCUCCUUUUGCUGAGAUAUGGUGACUGAGCCACUUGGCUCCAUACUCCUCUUAGAUUAAAGAGGGAACUGCCAAAAAUGUCACAGAUUUCAGAGGCCGGCUAGUGGUGACUCACCCAGAUAACGCUCUCAAGGACGUAUAGGGAGCCCGGAACCGUAGUCCCAUGCGACAGAGCCACAUCUGGAGAAAUGGCCAAGGUCACCCCACCACUGGCUCGGGCCCCCACAGUGCCAGGUGAGGAAAAUCCUGCUCCGUAAAACUCACACUGGACAGAGAGGCAGAAGGGGAAGCGGGAGAAGGUUCGACCCCGGUUUGCACACAGAGAUAGGCCAGGAUUAGUCCCUUUAGUCUCUUUUAGCUCAUGCUGGCCACAAAGCUCUAAUCUAAGAGGAGAACUCCUGAGGCUGUGAUUGGACCUGGAAGUCAAUUUGCUGCGAGCAUCCUAUGCAGAGUUGAAGCCAGCCAAAAAGGAAGCCUUCCUGGAAAAAUAACAAAGGAUCCAUCCCGGAGAAGCAUCUUCUCAAAUAUCCUCGAGGCAGAGAUAGCACUUCUGUCCGCUCCCGAGUCUACUGAAGCGUAACGCAGCCAGGCAAGGGAGAGCCUCGAUCUCUGUAUUGCUUGUGCAACGGUGUGAGUUUAAAACCUGUCGGAACAUGGUCCUGCCCCAGCUGUUCUUGCACUGACCGUGCAGGCAGAUGGCUGGCAGCAGCAAAGCUCCGGCUGCAGAAAUCCGUAAGGAUCCCCACCGACCGCUUUUGCAUACAAUCCUGCCGGGGCCGCCUGCCCGCACCGCUCGGCAGCAGAAACCUUCGGGGCGGUUCGGGGCAGGAGACGUCCCUUUGGCAAGCGGGGCAGCGCGGCUCUCCUGCCCGACGUGCCAUUCCCUUGCGCUUUGAUGUCCGCUGCCUUUGAGCCAUCUCUGCAUGUCAUUAGGGGCCCGGACAAUUAAAGAAGUGCCUUCGCACCCCCCCUCUCCCAACCCCUCCCCGCAGCGGAGGGGAAGUCGGAAAAAAAUAAAUACAUCGGCCAACACGGCGAGCCGAUGCGGGGCUGAGUUCGCCUUCGGAUCGCGGCCGUGAGAUGGGAAAGUCGCCCGCAGGGGAGCGGGAGGAGCCGCGACGGUGACAGCGACAGUGACUGCCGGUCCGGCCGCUCGCCGCCGGCUUUGGUGGCGGAUUGGGUGGGGAGUCCUUCUGCCGCCCGGGUACGCGGCUCCGUCCUCGGGGCGGUCGGAUGCCGCUCGGUCUCCCCGAAAGUCAAAUAAUAAAAAAAAAAAAAAUAGAAAUUUAAAAUAAUAAUAAUAAUUAAAAAAUCGAUCUGUGGGAAUGAAGGGCGGAAGCGGAGCUUAACGCGCUGCUCUUUCUGAGGGGCUGGUAGAGGGGAAAUGCGGCUGGGAGGGUUCGGAGGAGGCUGGGGAUGCUCGGGUGUAGAAAUAGGCUAUCUAUCUAUCUACCUGUAUCUAUUAAUAGCGAUACCAUACAAAUAACGAGUAGAGGAAGGUCGCGGAGUGCAGCCCCGCUCCCGCCGGGCUGGGGCUGCCCGUGGCCGGGAGGUGAGCCUCUCCCGGGCCGUUCCCACGCGUGUCCCCUCCCCGCACGGCGACACGAGUUCGGUGGCAGGUCAUUGGCGAGUGCUGUCCCCGAGAGCCCGUCACUGCCGGGCACCCGCUCGGUCGGAAGCAGGGACCUGGCACGGGGACGGGGACACGCGUGCACAACCCGCCCCCGGUCUCCGUGGGCCUCGAGAGACGUCUCCUUCCCGAGUCCCCGCGUGUGCGAUGCCACUCGUGUUCGUGCCCAGCGGCCGAGCCCCGGCCCCGUUAAACGCUCGUUUUCCUCUUUUUCACCGUGUUGCCAACGAGAAAAUGAGGAUGGGGUCUUUUUCCCUCCUGUUCUUGCCCACGCGGGGACGGGGCACUGCCUGUGGUACCGGCAGCGGCGCUUCCCCGUGACACGGACACGGGAGAAAUGCCGCUCGGAGAGAGGAACGAAAAAGCGCCGCGGAGCCGGGGAGGACAACGGAAUAACGCGCAAAAAGAGGGGGGAAACAAAAAAAGGAAAGGAAAACAAACAAACAAACAACAACAAAAUAAAGGAAAGAAAAGCAGGAAGAAGCGCGCGGCUCCUGGGGCAGCGGCGAGGCGCGGCGAGUCGGCUACCGCGCAGCCCCGUUCCUUCUCCGACGGCCCCACAACGACUCGAGCCCUCGGCAACGAGCUGUGGGGCUGCGGCCAGCCGCACCCCGCGCCCCGACCCGUCCCCACCCCGCUCCCGCGCGGGAAUCCCCCUCGGACCCCAAAUCCCCCUCCUCAGCCCCGGCUCCUCCCGGCCCCGCGCUCCCACGGCGACGCGGAGAGGCGGGGAGCGACGGCACCGGUCCGUAACGCACCCCAAAACCGAGACGGAGCCGCCGUCCC